UACGUAGGGUGCAAGCGUUAAUCGGAAUUACUGGGCGUAAAGCGUGCGCAGGCGGUUCUGUAAGACAGGUGUGAAAUCCCCGGGCUUAACCUGGGAACUGCAUUUGUGACUGCAUAGCUAGAGUACGGUAGAGGGGGAUGGAAUUCCGCGUGUAGCAGUGAAAUGCGUAGAUAUGCGGAGGAACACCGAUGGCGAAGGCAAUCCCCUGGACCUGUACUGACGCUCAUGCACGAAAGCGUGGGGAGCAAACAGG
rnacentral:rRNA from 1 species